CUGAAAUGACUGCAUUUGAGCAACUUGUAUGAGACACUGAGACAUCAUGCUGGUAAUCAGGCUCUGAAUCAG